GACUGGACAGAGUUUGUAUGAUUAAGAUAGCAAGUACGAGAUUACUUGGGGGUCAAGUAAUCAUAUAUACAAGUCUUUCACAAACUGGAGAAAAUAAAAGUUUUCACUUUUUACUUGAGGAACACAUCCUAUGUGUCCCAAGUACUUUAUUAUGGGUGAAGAUCAGUCAGGAAAUAGAACAACUCCAAGAUUUUUAACAACAAGAAACAUGGAAAGAAAUCGUCUCUAACCAUAGAACACUUAUUCCCAUUUCCAGUAUCUUGAUAUUUCAGGAUAUUGACAGAUUUCAUAAGGAGUUUUGAGAUGUUAGAUAUUUUAAAAUGAACUCCUAAAACUGUCCAUAAGUGAGUCAUUAAAUUCUAGCUACACAGGAUAAAAACCACAAACAUAUAUUAAGUUUUCAUGAGGAAAAACAGUGUAUGGUCAAGUAAGGCAUGGUUGACAAAUCAGAAAAUUAAAACUAGAUUCCAAGUUUGCCACUAACUAAACGACCAACUACCUCCUUCCCUACCCACCUACGUAUGUAUUGAAGUAAACUUGGUUAAGUUAUUCAACUUCUGUGAGCUUCAAUUCCUCAUAUUUAAUAUGGGAGUGACACGACUUGCCCUACCUUCUUCCUAGUUAUUGAGACCACACUAGACCAGGAAUGUGAAAAUGCUUUGAGGAUGUUGAUAUGCUACAGAAAAACAAGGUAAGACACACUGUUUGUUCUACUAUUGUGCAAUCUAGGGAAUAUGCAGUAGUUUCUAUUUGCAAAAGUUACUACAUUUAUUUUGAGAGUUGUUGCAGGUUGGGCUCCAUGAGAAGCAGAUUCUGAGAUGGAGAUUCACAUGCAGGGCAAAGGGCUCUGUGUCAAUCAGUCAUCGGCUGUGGGCUUCCCUGGAGGGUGGCAUGACCUUGAACAAGGUGGAUGGACAGUGGAAUGCCAUCUGCCAGCAGCAUUCCCUGUGAAGAUGUACGUUCCGUCAUUUCCAGCAGGGAUUCUGGGUGUAAAAUAUUCUUUACCUAAAAUACCAACAUAGUCAAAUGGUCUUUUAUUUAGGCUGUGUCAUAUUGUCUCAUAGUGUUUUGCCAGGUUUCUACUUAAAUAGUAAGAGCCAUAUUAAAAAUUUUUCUUUGCAAAUAUGGUUAGAAUGGUAUUUCUUGAGAAUUGAUCUUCAUAAUUGCAAAAGCCACUUCUUUUGUUCUAAAUUUUAUGACAAAAAAUUUACAAAAGCAGUAUUUGUAAUUUCUAGCAUUAAUUUAGCAUAUCAUAGGAAAAAUAUUUGAAUUGAUGAUUUAAGAAUCUUGCAGGACUUACAGCUGUCUUUCUGAAGAAAGGGUGAGCCUGCACAGUACUGUGCUCUGCAUGUCAUGACAAAGUUGUCACAUUUCAUAUGUAGAGCAACUCAGCUGGCACUUAGGAUAAGCUGUGAGCUACUCAGGGCGCUAUUGCUUUUCCCAUUUUAUAGGUGAUAAAACUAUGGCUCAGAGAACUGACAUGAUUUGCACGAGUUCACAACAAAAGAAAUGAAAAAAAUAGUGCAAAAACUCAGUUUACUGACAUGAAAUAAAAUAACGCAGUUCUCUCUCACUAUAAUACAUUGUCUCAGAGUAAAAGAUUGGCCUGCAUAUGCAGCUACCUCUCAUAUGAGUUCUGAGCAUUGCUUUAUUCUGCUAAGUCAGUGAUGGUCGGCUAUUUCCACUCCCCCAAAUCUUCUACCUCUUGAAAUGAAAGUACAGGGAUAUUUCCGUGUUCAUUCCAUUGAUAACUAUUUUCUGAGUAUUUAUAAAAUAACAAGCAUUGUACUAGGCCCUGGGGUAUCCAUAAGCAUAGACAAGAUAUAGCCCCUGCUCUCAAGAAGCUUAACAUCUACUAAUUCUGGCCUAACACCUGCUUAGAGAGGUUUUUAGACCCAGAGUUUUCUUCCAUUGAGCUAGAAAAGAAGGGCUUUGUUAUAUAGUCUUUUGUUUUGAAAUCUCAGAUAUGCUUUCACUUAAGAAUUGUGGUGAUGCAUAAGAUACGAACUGUCAGAGAGUGCACAGAGGAAACAAAUAUGGAGCCCCAUCUUGCCAGGCAUUCAUACUUAGAAGGAGUAGAGAUGGAAGACAGGAGAAAAUAAACAUUUCUAGAAUGUUCUAUAUUUUUUCUGAAAAUUAAAACCCUCAAAUAGCUAGCUGCCUGUCUAUUGUAAUUCAAAGAGUGAAUGUAUUCCACGUUAUUAUCUUAAGUGCAUUUCUGCUCUUCAGUUUCAACUUACAAUUUUGAAGACUUUACCUGAAUAAUGACAUGGAGUAAUGAUUUUGUAAUGAUUACAUAACCAAAAUACAGGAAGGCUCUGGAAAGUGCUAAAGAAUUAUUAUUCAUUAACUGAAAUGUUAUCUCUGAGUAGUUUAAGGGUGAAUACAUUCUCAAUGUCUAUUUGUCUUGGAAUUAUUGUUAGAAGUUGCCAAAAAAAGUGCCUCUUAGAGCCACCUGUGCCAACUGUUGUAGGUAUUUCUGGAAAAGGCCACUGAGUUUGACUAAUGUAAUGAUCAGCAAGGGAGCCAGGCCUGUUCAAAGUCGACUGAAAUUCUGUUUGCUUCAUAGUGAUGGGGCCUAGACACUAAAUAUAUUCAUUUUCCUAUUUGUUGCUGGCUUAUAUGUCAGUAAUUGAGAGUUGAUUCAUCUACUCAAGGGCUAUUAAAAUGGCUUUACAUGAACCAGGCUGACUAAACGGUCCUUUCCAAUCUAAAGCUUUUAUAUUUGCCAGAACUGGCUUUGGACUGCUAAUAAAAUGCCACCAUAUGGGGUAGUGGGUUUUUUUAAGGACCAGUUUUAUUCAGUAAAGAGAAGAGGGAAUGUAAGCCAUCUUGUUUUCUCUACUGCUUUACCUUUUAUUUUGACUGAAAUAUUUAGCUGAUUUCCAGAAGUCUAACUUUUUGAGGUGAAUAGUAAAAAGCACGUAGAAGAUGAGGUAAGUGUUUUCCAGAUACAACAACUUGAUUAUCAGAAUGAACUCUUAUGGGGGCGAGUGGAGUCGACCAUUGCAUAUUCUAAAGAUAUUACAAGAUAGUCUUACAAUUAAACAGAAUGAUAAGGGGCCAGCCUGGUGGCACAGCAGUUAAGUUUGCGGGCUUCGCUUUGGUGGUCCAGGGUUUGCCAGUUCAAAUCCCGGGCUUGGACCUACCCACUGCUUAUGAAGUUGCUGGUUCAAAUCCCAGGCGGACGUAUGCACCACUUAUGAGGUUAUGCUGUGGCAGGCAUCCUGCAUAUAAAGUAGAGGCAGAUGGUCACGGAUGUUAGCUCAGGGCCUAUCUUCCUCAGCAAAAAAAGGAGGAUUGGCAGCAGAUGUUAGCUCAGGGCUAAUCUUCCUCAAAAAAAACCAAGAACGAUGACUUCUUGUUUCAGAAAUAAUCAGUAGAUCCAGAGUUACAUAAAUUAAUAAGCAGUUUUUAUUGCCCAAUCUCUAAAAGUAGGUAGCAUUGACCAAGUCAUGGUUUAUCACUCACUUGCACAACUUCCUUUAUGGUGACAACAG
rnacentral:lncRNA from 1 species